CUGACGCUUAAGGAAGAGGAGAAGCAGAGAGGAAGGAGGCCAGCCUGGGCGGAGGACAGACAGCCCUGAGAGGAGGAAGGGGCACAGAGAUGCUGUUCCCUGAAGCACUCCCCAUUAAAUUACCUGCACCCACAACUUCAUCUUAGAGUCUGGUCCUAAGAAACUCAACCUGCCACAGAGGGCAGCACUUUGACUCCUAGCCUGAGAACUUCCAUAUGCC